UUUUUUUUAUCACAUCUCAAUGUAUAAUUGUAUGCUAGAAUUUAAUCUGUUGCUAAUUUUAGACUCAUUUGAUGUUAGUUUCAGAUUAUGUUUGUUAAUAUGGUAGUAGUACUUCCAAUUAUAUUUUGUAGCUAUGCAUUCACUAAUUUCUACAUCUGCUUAUGUAUACUAGACUUACAACAUCAAAGAGGAGCUUAGACGGUGAGAGCAGUAGCUUGCCUCAAGGAACUAGUUCUGAAGCUGCUACAGAACCUGAAUCUGGUAAUGGUUCACAACCAAUCGAAAUAGAUGAUGAAGAAGAUUGACAUGAUGUUGGUUCAAAGAGGAAGCUAACUUAGAGGUUUGGAAAGAGUUCAAGAGAGUGAAAUUGUUAGAUGAGGUUAAGGCACAAUGCAUGCAUUGUGGUAAGAAGCUUUCAGCAAAGUCCAAAAGCGGAACUAAGCAUCUUCAUGUACAUUUGACGGGUUGCCCAUAUCGGAGGAGCAAACUUGCAAGCAAGGAUAAGGUGUUGGCACAAACUUCUCUAAGGUUUGCUUCCAAGCAACCGGGAUCUUUAUCUUUGGAGAAUUAUUCAUUUGACCCAGAUGUAGCUAGAAGAGAGCUUGCAGAUGUAGUUUUAAGAUUGAUUACCGAUAUAGAAGAGAUCUUGGAGGCACUUAUGUGCCCACAAGAUUGGAUGCGACACAAGUAUCUAGAUGCAUCUAAUGCUAACCAACCUGAAACAUUUUGGAGUUGCCUUCAAGAGAUGCAGGAAUGGAUGCAUAAGCUUUUACUCUGAGCAACAAGACUGAAAUUGGAAGAGAAGGAUGCCCUUAAGCUCCAACAGCUUAGAAGCCUUAUAUAUUCAAAUAUUAAGUAUUGUGUAUUGAACAAUUAGACUUGAAGGCAUGCUUUUGUCCACCGUUUUGUAGAAUCAAUUUGUUGUUUUGUGUGAUUUGAAGGCAUGAUAUUGCCAUUUAAUGUUGAAUAUUGUUGAACCUGUGAUAAAAUUAUGUUGGGUUCGAUACAUUUGUUAUGUUGGUACUUAUU